GGAUGGUAGUGUUGCUGGGUUGUGUUGCAGAGGGGGUAAGAAUGUUUUUUUGUAACUAUUUAUAUUCUUUUAACUUAUAUUCUAUGUUUUUGAUGCCUUGGAAACAUCGAAGCUAACACAACACUUCUAUAAACACACAAACAACUGAGGCAGGGAUGGUAGUGUUGCUGGGUUGUGUUGUGAGGGCAGGAAGGGGUAACUAUGCUUUCUUUUCUAACUUAAAGAUAUUAUUUAUGCCUCUGGAGAAGUCUAAGCUAAAGCAACACCUCUAAAAACACACAAACAACCAAGCCAUGGGUGUUUGAGUUGCUGGACUGUGUUGCGAAGGUGUUUUUUUUACAUAUUUCUAUUUAUUUAACUUCUGUUCUUUGUUUUUGAUGCCUCUAGAAAUGUCCCAGCUAAAGCAACACACCUAAAGGAAACGAAACACUUGAGGCAGGAGUGGUAGUGUUGCUGUGUUGCUAGAAAGAAGAGUGAGUUUUUUACGAUCAAUUUCCUUAUUAUUUUUACUCCUUGGAACAAGUUAGACCACAAGCAACACUUCUAGAAACACAAAACUAACCGAAGUAGGAAUAUUGACAAGUGUUGCUGCCUAGUGUUGUGACCUGGUUAUGAUUUUGUGUUUCCUGACUAAUUUUAUUCACAUACUAUUUAAUAUUUAUGGUUCUCAGGGCUCGUCAAAACUGUACCUACAAGAAUAUCAAGUGUCAAAGUGGAAGUGGUUGUGUUGUGUUUUGUGUUGCAUUGUGUUGUGAGAAGAUAGUGUUAGUUCUUCAAUCUGUUUAUUUAUUUCCAGUAGAGUAUUGCCAAACUGAAGCAACACAAAUAUAGGAAUACUUAAAGAUGGAAGAGUAUUGUUGUGUUGUUUUGUGUUGCGAGGAGUUUGUGUUUCUUCCUCAGUUUGUGUUUCUGAUGUCAUUUUGUGUUUCUUAUGUCAUUUUGUGUUUCGUAUGUCAUUUUGUGUUUCUUAUGUCAUUUUGUGUUUCGUAUGUCAUUUUGUUUCUUUAUGUCAUUUUGUGUUUCUUUGUCAUUUUGUGUUUCUUUGUCAUUUUGUGUUUCUUAUGUCAUUUUGUGUUUCUUUGUCAUUUUGUGUUUCUUUAUGUCAUUUUGUGUUUCUUUAUGUCAGUUUGUGUUUCUUCCCUGCCAAGUAUGUUUAAAAUGAAGCAAAACAAUCACAUCAAUAACUAAGGGAGAAGUGUUUUUAAUUGUGAUGUUUUGUGUUGCUGCGAGUAGUUUGUGUUCUAUUUGUAUGUUGGUUUGCGUAUUUUCAGCAACACUUCCACAAACACAUGAGUAACUAAAGGGAGGACUGGAAGUGUACAUUGCUGCCUUGUGUUGCAGGGAGAAUGUUUUUUGCUUUACUUCUCUACGGCAAUGUGUUUCUUUUUCACGGCAACACAAAUGCAAAAAAACUGAAGCACGGAUGAUAGUGUUGCAUUGUGCUGCAUGUACAAUGUUUUUCUUUAAUUACUGUACAGAUAACGUGCAGACAACAUACACAAUGAAAGAACUGUAUACCUACGUUUAUUAUAAAGUUUGUCGGUAUCAUUUUCAGUUUUUUUUUUAAUAGUACAGUCGUCCCUCAAAUAGUACAGUUUCCAAUAGUUCGGUUUUGGUUUUAUGUGGAUUUUCUAAGAAGAUUUUUAAGGAUUUUUAAAUAUCCCAAUGAGCAGGAAAUUUAAAAAUCCUAAAGGAUCUUCUAUGACAAUCCAUAUAAAACCGUAACUGAACUAUUGGAAACCGUACUAUUUGAGGGAGGACUGUAAUUUUAUUGUAUACUGGUAUUUAUCGUAUGUAUCUUCAAGCAACGGUCCACCCUUCCCCCUUUUUAAUCUGUUAAAUCGAGGGUUGAGUGUACUUCUCUACUUCAGUUUGUGUAUUUUUUCCCGGCAACACAAAUACAUAAACAGAACAUUGGGUGAUAGUGUUGCGUUGCGUCAUCCUGUGUUGCGGAAAAUGUGUUCUUCCUGAUCUCGGUUUGUGUUGCUUUUCGGAAACACAUGGACCUGGGGAACCUUAUGCAUCCACUGCCUUUGUGUUAGUGUUAGAAUGGGUCUUUUUGUGUUCGUCUGUUUGUGUUUCUUACGGAGGCCAGUUCUGGGGUAAUGUUGCUAGUUCUGGAAUUUCUGGAAUCGUCGGUUUUCACUUAACGUUAAAAGUGAUUUGGGGUUGUGAUGUCGUUUCUGGAAUUUUGGGAAUGGUUGUUUUGUUAACGAUGAAAGUAAUUUUGGAUAUCGUUGUUUCUGGAAUUUCUGGAAUCGUCAGUUUUUAGUUAAUAAUGAAAGUAAUUUGGGGUAAUUUUGUUUUUUUCUGGAAUUUCGGGAAUUGUCAGUUUAAGUAAACGAUAAAAGUAGUUUUGGGUAAUUUUGCUAUAUUUGAAAUUUUGGGAAUCUUUGUUUUUUAGUUAGUGGUAAAAGUAAUUUGGAGUAAUGUAAUAUAUUGGAAUUUUGGGAAUCAUUUUUUUUAGUUAAUAAUGAAAGUAAUUUGGGGUAAUAAUGUUAUAUUUAGAAUUUCAGGAUUCAUCAUUAUUUAGUUAGUGCUAAAAGUAAUUUGGGGUAAUGGUAAGUCUGGAAUUUUGGGAAUCGUCAGUUUUUAAAAAGGUAAUUUGUGAAGGUAAUUUGAGGUUAUGUUGUUAUUUUUGGAAUUUCAGGAAUCGUCAGUUUUCAGUUAACAAGGAAAGCAAUUUGGGGUAAUGUUACUUGGUCAGGAAUCUCGGGAAUCGUCGGUGUUUAAAUAGCAAUGAGAGACAAUUUUGGGGUACUGUUAUUAAGUUGGAAUUCUCGGAGUUGAGUUUUCGGGUAGCGACGAAAGGUAAUUCAUUUUUUUCUGGACCGUAAACUCCAACUACCUAACAUAAUGAAUAAUAAACAUCUUCCUUCUAUUCUUGUAUAUAAAAGGGAGUAGAAGUUAGGUUAUCAUGGGUGACUGACGUAAAAGACUUCUCACCAGAACACACUAUAGAUGUUAGCAUUAAUGGGCAUAUAAUAGUCUUAAGCAAACCUCUUCCUAGACUUAGCUUUUUGUUAACGAUACACUUGUUACCAGAUAAGGGGAUGAGGGUAGACGUAAGUUUUGUAAGUACGUGACUAACACUAACUGUCUUAUUAUUAUUACUACUAUGUACUUAAAAGCGUCUAAUGAGGAGGGAAGGUUCCGUUAGCACAAAUCAAUGGUAAAUAUAAUGAAAGUUCCUACAAUGCAAGUUUAUCAUAUUGCUUCACUUGGAUGAGUUAUGAAUUUUGUGUAUUUAUAGUGAAGGGUGUUUUGGCCUGUUGGUGUACACUGUUUUCAUGAGUAUUUAGCUUGCAGAAAAAACGGCUUCGGAAAAUUGUGUAGACGUGUGAAAAUGAUUACGUAAUGGCAAAGAAUUGAGUGAUAAGCAUUUUUUAUGGUAAUUUAAGCUGAAUGAAAAUGAAAUACGUAAUGGAAUGCAAAUGGAAAUGGUAUGAAAAUGAAAAUGGUAUGAAAAUGAAAAUAUGAAAAUGACAAUGGUAUGAAAAUGGUAUGAAAUUGAAAAUAUGAAAAUGACAAUGGUAUGAAAAUGGUGUGAAAACGAAAAUAUGAAAAUGAAAAUGGUAUGAAAAUGAUCUAUGUAAUAACAAAGAACAGACAUUUUUUAGUGUAACUUCACCUCAUAUAUUUAGAUUAGUUUUCAUCACUCAAAAUUAAUAUGAACUAGAAAAAGUACGUACGAAUAGGCAGAUAUACCCCACGCAGAUGAAAAGACUCAACUUCGUGUUCUAAAAUGCCGUUAAUUUAUAUAUCCGAUUAACAGCCACGGAGGUCUUGUUAGUUUCUGUCAUUUUUGUGUCACAUCCGUUUUGUUUCAGUGCUGUUGUUGUACGAUCAAAUGGAUCCUAGCUUUUGUUACUGUACAUAUAUACACGAAUCAAAUAUACAUGACAUACAAGACUUUA